GGGCUUCACUCAGAGCAAUGCAAGUGUCCACAUUCUGCUGGCUGCACAGAGGACAGAGGACGCUCAGGUUUCAAGGGCAGGACUGCACUCAAGACACCAGGACCUCAGCCCUACCUUCCCCGUGGAUACCCACCCCUGCUGCCCACCAAGCCCAACUGCGAGACCAGAGGUCUGCAGAGCUCACCCACUUUUCUCCGGUCGGUGGCGUAACAAAGGCCGCAUCGCCGUGGCUGAUUCCUGGCACCCUCAGUUCUUCAGGAGCGGACUACGUGGUGGUGUCAUCGCCCACACCGCCUUGUGAGCUUGGCGGAGCUUACGUUGAGAAAUAAAGUUUAUAUAUUUUGUCUUUUAA